rnacentral:rRNA from 1 species
UGGCUCAGGACGAACGCUGGCGGCGUGCCUAAUACAUGCAAGUCGAGCGGACAGAUGGGAGCUUGCUCCCUGAUGUUAGCGGCGGACGGGUGAGUAACACGUGGGUAACCUGCCUGUAAGACUGGGAUAACUCCGGGAAACCGGGGCUAAUACCGGAUGGUUGUUUGAACCGCAUGGUUCAAACAUAAAAGGUGGCUUCGGCUACCACUUACAGAUGGACCCGCGGCGCAUUAGCUAGUUGGUGAGGUAACGGCUCACCAAGGCAACGAUGCGUAGCCGACCUGAGAGGGUGAUCGGCCACACUGGGACUGAGACACGGCCCAGACUCCUACGGGAGGCAGCAGUAGGGAAUCUUCCGCAAUGGACGAAAGUCUGACGGAGCAACGCCGCGUGAGUGAUGAAGGUUUUCGGAUCGUAAAGCUCUGUUGUUAGGGAAGAACAAGUACCGUUCGAAUAGGGCGGUACCUUGACGGUACCUAACCAGAAAGCCGCGGCUAACUACGUGCCAGCAGCCGCGGUAAUACGUAGGUGGCAAGCGUUGUCCGGAAUUAUUGGGCGUAAAGGGCUCGCAGGCGGUUUCUUAAGUCUGAUGUGAAAGCCCCCGGCUCAACCGGGGAGGGUCAUUGGAAACUGGGGGAACUUGAGUGCAGAAGAGGAGAGUGGAAUUCCACGUGUAGCGGUGAAAUGCGUAGAGAUGUGGAGGAACACCAGUGGCGAAGGCGACUCUCUGGUCUGUAACUGACGCUGAGGAGCGAAAGCGUGGGGAGCGAACAGGAUUAGAUACCCUGGUAGUGCACGCCGUAAACGAUGAGUGCUAAGUGUUAGGGGGUUUCCGCCCCUUAGUGCUGCAGCUAACGCAUUAAGCACUCCGCCUGGGGAGUACGGUCGCAAGACUGAAACUCAAAGGAAUUGACGGGGGCCCGCACAAGCGGUGGAGCAUGUGGUUUAAUUCGAAGCAACGCGAAGAACCUUACCAGGUCUUGACAUCCUCUGACAAUCCUAGAGAUAGGACGUCCCCUUCGGGGGCAGAGUGACAGGUGGUGCAUGGUUGUCGUCAGCUCGUGUCGUGAGAUGUUGGGUUAAGUCCCGCAACGAGCGCAACCCUUGAUCUUAGUUGCCAGCAUUUAGUUGGGCACUCUAAGGUGACUGCCGGUGACAAACCGGAGGAAGGUGGGGAUGACGUCAAAUCAUCAUGCCCCUUAUGACCUGGGCUACACACGUGCUACAAUGGACAGAACAAAGGGCAGCGAAACCGCGAGGUUAAGCCAAUCCCACAAAUCUGUUCUCAGUUCGGAUCGCAGUCUGCAACUCGACUGCGUGAAGCUGGAAUCGCUAGUAAUCGCGGAUCAGCAUGCCGUGGUGAAUACGUUCCCGGGCCUUGUACACACCGCCCGUCACACCACGAGAGUUUGUAACACCCGAAGUCGGUGAGGUAACCUUUUAGGAGCCAGCCGCCGAAGGUGGGACAGAUGAUUGGGGUGAAGUCGUAACAAGGUAACCG